ensembl:snRNA
ACCAUGCUUUCCUUGGGGUCACACUACUGUGUAAUGAGUGCACAAUGAGGUCAGUACUGCAAAUGCCUAUAGAUCGCACUGCAUCAACUGGAACUUUGCUUUACCUUGGUACAAUUUUUGGAAAA